UACGAAGGGGGCUAGCGUUGCUCGGAAUUACUGGGCGUAAAGGGCGCGUAGGCGGACAUUUAAGUCAGGGGUGAAAUCCCAGAGCUCAACUCUGGAACUGCCUUUGAUACUGGGUGUCUUGAGUGUGAGAGAGGUAUGUGGAACUCCGAGUGUAGAGGUGAAAUUCGUAGAUAUUCGGAAGAACACCAGUGGCGAAGGCGACAUACUGGGUCAUUACUGACGCUGAGGCGCGAAAGCGUGGGGAGCAAACAGG
rnacentral:rRNA from 1 species